rnacentral:lncRNA from 1 species
GGAACUGCGGCGAGCUCUGUGGAGACCCGGCUCCGAAAGAGAGGCCAGACAGGAAAAGUAACCAACUCUAAAAGACACCAGCCUAUCAGACCAGACAUCUGCCAUAAACACAGCCUCAGACCACCGACUGUAGAGCUUUUUGAGUCACUCCCUCCUCAACCAAAAUAAAAUGUCAACGGCAGCUAUAAACAAGAGCUCAGUGAGUUUCUCCCCCUUGGACUGUGCUGGACCGAAGCUUCCUAUGCAAAGGCAUCGACUCUUGAUGUGCUUCCUUCCUGCCCUAAUUAUACUUACGUCGUCUUAUAAAUGUGGAAAUCUGGCUAAGAAGCCCAAGCAUUAAACAACACAAGAACCAGGUAAUAAAAACAUUGAAAG